UGGGGAAUCUUCCGCAAUGGGCGAAAGCCUGACGGAGCAAUGCCGCGUGAGUGAUGAAGGAAUUCGUUCCGUAAAGCUCUUUUGUUUAUGACGAAUGUGCAGGUUGUGAAUAAUGAUCUGUAAUGACGGUAGUAAACGAAUAAGCCACGGCUAACUACGUGCCAGCAGCCGCGGUAAUACGUAGGUGGCGAGCGUUGUCCGGAAUUAUUGGGCGUAAAGAGCAUGUAGGCGGUUUUUUAAGUCUGGAGUGAAAAUGCGGAGCUCAACCCCGUAUGGCUCUGGAUACUGGAAGACUUGAGUGCAGGAGAGGAAAGGGGAAUUCCCAGUGUAGCGGUGAAAUGCGUAGAUAUUGGGAGGAACACCAGUGGCGAAGGCGCCUUUCUGGACUGUGUCUGACGCUGAGAUGCGAAAGCCAGGGUAGCGAACGGG
rnacentral:rRNA from 1 species